GAUGAAGAACGUAGUGAAAUGCGAUAGGUAAUGUGAAUUGCAGAAUUCAGUGAAUCAUCGAAUCUUUGAACGCACAUUGCGCCCUUUGGUAUUCCUUAGGGCAUGCCUGUUCGAGCGUCACUACACACCUUAUCACAAUAUUUGUGGUCUUGGCAGGAGUGAAUUGCUGGUCUAUGGAAGUAUUCCAGCAGUACACAAUGCUAAAAAAUAUGGGAAGGUUACCAGAUAUGAACAACAGACUCUGUAAAUGGUUGUAGGACCUAGAUCAGUCACAAGUCAUGUCUGGUCCCUUACCUUAAGGACCCCCAUCCUAGAUGAACUAUGGGUUGACCUCGGAUCAGGUAGGAAUACCCGCUGAACUUAAGCAUAUCAAUAAGCGGAGGA
rnacentral:misc_RNA from 1 species